rnacentral:rRNA from 1 species
CUGAGAGUUUGAUUCUGGCUCAGAACGAACGCUGGCGGCGCGCUUAACACAUGCAAGUCGAACGGGUCUUUAUUGAGUAGCAAUACUUAAUGAAGAUUAGUGGCGAACGGGUGAGUAACACGUAGGUAACCAACCCUUAGGACAGGGAUACUCCCGAGAAAUCGGGCACAAUACCUGAUAAAAUCCCGGAGUGAAAAUCUUUGGGAUUAAAGCCUUACGGCACCUAAGGCUGGGCCUGCGGUCCUAUCAGCUAGUUGGUGAGGUAACGGCCCACCAAGGCAAAGACGGGUAGCCGGACUGAGAGGUUGAUCGGCCACACUGGAACUGAGACACGGUCCAGACUCCUACGGGAGGCAGCAGUGAGGAAUUUUGCGCAAUGGGCGAAAGCCUGACGCAGCGACGCCGCGUGGGGGAAGAAGGCC